UACGGAGGGUGCAAGCGUUAAUCGGAAUUACUGGGCGUAAAGCGUGCGCAGGCGGUUUGUUAAGUCCGUUGUGAAAUCCCCGGGCUCAACCUGGGAAUUGCGUUGGAGACUGCAAGGCUGGAGUCUGGCAGAGGGGGGUAGAAUUCCACGUGUAGCAGUGAAAUGCGUAGAGAUGUGGAGGAACACCGAUGGCGAAGGCAGCCCCCUGGGUCAAGACUGACGCUCAUGCACGAAAGCGUGGGGAGCAAACAGG
rnacentral:rRNA from 1 species